rnacentral:rRNA from 1 species
GAUGAACGCUAGCGGCAGGCUUAAUACAUGCAAGUCGUGGGGCAGCAGGGGUGUAGCAAUACAUCUGCUGGCGACCGGCAAACGGGUGCGUAACACGUACGCAACCUUCCCGUUACUGUGGCAUAGCCCAGGGAAACUUGGAUUAAUACCACAUAUUAUAUUGAGGGGGCAUCCCUUUGAUAUCAAAGCUUCGGCGGUAACGGAUGGGCGUGCGGUUGAUUAGGUAGUUGGCGGGGUAACGGCCCACCAAGCCUACGAUCAAUAGCUGAUGUGAGCGCAUGUACGCCCACACGGGCACUGAGACACGGGCCCGGCUCCUACGGGAGGCAGCAGUAAGGAAGAUUGGGCAAUGGACGAAAGUCUGACCCAGCCAUGCCGCGUGAAGGAUUAAGGUCCUCUGGAUUGUAAACUUCUUUUCUCUGGGGCGAAAACCAGCUAUUCUUAGCUAUUUGACAGUACCAGAGGAAUAAGCACCGGCUAACUCCGUGCCAGCAGCCGCCGUAACAC